rnacentral:rRNA from 1 species
UGGGGAAUAUUGGACAAUGGGCGCAAGCCUGAUCCAGCCAUGCCGCGUGAGUGAUGAAGGCCCUAGGGUUGUAAAGCUCUUUCACCGGUGAAGAUAAUGACGGUAACCGGAGAAGAAGCCCCGGCUAACUUCGUGCCAGCAGCCGCGGUAAUAGGAAGGGGGCCAGCGUUGUUCGGAUUUACUGGGCGUAAAGCGCACGUAGGCGGACUUUUAAGUAAGGGGUGAAAUCCCGGGGCUAAACCCCGGAACUGCCUUUGAUACUGGGAGUCUUGAGUAUGGUAGAGGUGGGUGGAAUUCCGGGUGUAGGGGUGAAAUUCGAAGAUAUUCGGAGGAACCCCAGUGGCGAGGGCGGCUCACUGGCCCAUUACUAACGCUGGGGUGCAAAAGGGUGGGGAGCAAACAGG